AUGCUGCAGCGUAAAAUGUCAGUUGAAGGCAGCUGUGAGGGAGAGAUGGGCGACAAGAACCUGCAGGCAGCUAGCCAAGAUUUAGGACAGAGCAGUGACCCAGCCACAUUCAAUGAGUUCAAGCGAUUUCUUGUUAUGAGCAUUGGGUUUGGUGGUAUGCUCGACCUUCAAAUGCUGCAGAAACUAAACCUGAAAUUCAGUGCAUGGACAAUGAGUAAGGGAACACUGGCUAAUACUGAGACGAUUAAGCAGUUCAACUGGUGUGAGUAUGUGAUUCAAUGCCUGCUCGCUGGUGUUAGGAGGCUAAAUAAUAAUAUCCGGUCAGGCAACCCCGCCACCAACUUAGUCGGAUGCUACUUGUUUCUCCAGAUAUUCCCGCUGGACAACCUCGCCCUUGGGUUGUUCAACAAGAAAAUGCGGAGGAUGCCAACCAUGGCUACUGAUGUUGGAAAGCCGGUCACAUCUUACAGUGGCACAUCAUUAUGGCACCACUCCACUUUGUGCUACGCCCGUUCCAAGCACUCCGCCGCGGAGCAGUCAUCAUCAAGGAACACAGCAAAAUCUCCAUUCUAG
rnacentral:rRNA from 1 species